CAAGAGCGUAUGUAAAAGUUGUUGCAGUUAAAAAGCUCGUAGUUGAACCUUGGGUUUGGUUGGCCGGUCCGCUUUUUUGCGAGUACUGGAUUCAACCGAGCCUUUCCUUCUGGCUAACCAGUCGUUUCGGCGGCUGGCGAACCAGGAUUUUUACUUUGAGAAAAUUAGAGUGUUCAAAGCAGGCAUUAGCUUGAAUAUAUUAGCAUGGAAUAAUAGAAUAGGACGUUAUGGUUCUAUUUUGUUGGUUUCUAGGACCAUCGUAAUGAUUAAUAGGGACGGUCGGGGGCAUCAGUAUUCAGUUGUCAGAGAUGAAAUUCUUGGAUUUACUGAAGACUAACUACUGCGAAAGCAUUUGCCAAGGACGUUUUCAUUAA
rnacentral:rRNA from 1 species